GCCCGCCUAGCUUAGUUGGUAGAGCGCAACUAUGUAGGGUAUAUCCCACCACUCUCCAUGAGUGGUUAGCAAUCUAUAAACAAUGGGUGGUUGUGGUCGUGGGUUCGAUUCCCACGGUGGGCA
rnacentral:tRNA from 1 species